CAAUUAUCCAGUCUCAGCCUCCUCAGUAGCUGGGACCACAGAUUCUGUGGCAGAUGAGAAAUGCCUUGGUCCUUGGGCUGCUUGCAGCCUAGCGAGGGACAGACUUUUAACCUCUCUAGGAGAGUGGCUGCUUCAAGUCAUCCUAUGGGACCAGCUGUUCAUGCUUCCUCUUGCCCAGAACUACUUCUGUGAGAGGAAAAGAGAAGGGUAGGAGCGUGCCCUGCAGCUGGAAACCCAAGCCAGGCGGGGAGCCACGAAUGCAGUAGUUAUCAGACUGUAUCUUCAAUCCUGGGGGCUUCUCAAGCCAUUGCCAGCCACUCUUCACCCAAGGCCUGGUGGAAUAAAGCUGGGCUAAGUAACA
rnacentral:lncRNA from 1 species